AGAACAAUUCGUUCCAGAAGUAUGACAAAUCCUCCUAAAAGUGUAACUUUAGCCUCGUACAAUUCUCACAGAUUUUACUACUUAAAUGACGGGAGAAUGUAUAACCAUGCCCAAAGUAUGACAUUAGUGAUUGUCUUGUGGUGAGAUAUCGCAAUUUCUUUCCACAGAGCGUUUGAGACUGUUGGAUGGCACGAUGUAGUAUUGCAUUUUUUUCUCAUGGCUUAACCCGACCACAAUAGACUAUACGGCCAAAGGAUGGUGUCAUAGUGGAUCGUACGAUCUAGUAUGACAGUUUCUCAUCACUUAACCUGUCCACGAUAGACUAUAUGGCCAACGGCUAGUGUUAUAUUGAACCACACGAUUUAGUAUGUCAGUUUUCUCAUCACUUAAUCCGUCCACGAUAGACUAGCUGACGACCUUCGUGUCUUCUAUCAGCAACGUCACUACCCUGACUGACUGACCUCCCAGAUAUGUUAAUCUCGAAGUCAGUUAGAGCUCGACAGCCGGAGAGUGAGGUUGCCAAAAUUUUCGAGUGUCCACUCACUACGGCAAAGAUGUCUCAGUACUACGAUACCCUUAAACACCAGAAGGAUGGAGAAAGGGGUCAAUUGUCCGAUUGCUAUGAGGAUGAUACUGACGCGAGGAAGCAGCCAGUGACUUUAUCGGACUAUGUAUACGAAGACAGUGUAUCGUUGGAUGGUAAAUAUCAUCUUCAACGUGGGCACUACACCUGUGGGAAACAACCAUCGGUAGUGCACAGAAAGCUGCUGGUCGAUUUAAGUCAGAACUACUGCCACGAAACGAUGUUAUGUAGCUACGACAGGAUGGGUACUUUUAAGGACUGGUCCGAACAGCUGGUUCAGAAGGGUAGACAGCUAGCCCGGAGAGGGUUUUAUUAUACCAGUGUUUCGGACAAAGUCGCGUGUGCCUGGUGUGGAUUACGAUUGUGGAAAUGGUGUGCCGAGGAUGACAUUGACUUUGAACAUCACAGGUUUAGCCCAUCGUGCUCAUUCCUGAAAAUUACUUGCCCCGUCAGGUUUGAUACUGACAUGAGAAAUGCUUUGUGAACUGAGAGCUGAAUUGUGAGUAAAAAUAUAAUCUAAGCAUAUUUACGAAUAAAAUUUGUGAAAUGUU